rnacentral:piRNA from 1 species
GGGCAUUGUAGUGGCACACACCUUUA